UGGGGAAUAUUGGGCAAUGGGCGCAAGCCUGACCCAGCAACGCCGCGUGAAGGAAGAAGGCUUUCGGGUUGUAAACUUCUUUUAAGAGGGAAGAGCAGAAGACGGUACCUCUUGAAUAAGCCACGGCUAACUACGUGCCAGCAGCCGCGGUAAUACGUAGGUGGCAAGCGUUGUCCGGAUUUACUGGGUGUAAAGGGCGUGCAGCCGGGUGCGCAAGUCAGAUGUGAAAUCUCAGGGCUCAACCCUGAAACUGCAUUUGAAACUGUGCAUCUUGAGUGCCGGAGAGGUAAUCGGAAUUCCUUGUGUAGCGGUGAAAUGCGUAGAUAUAAGGAAGAACACCAGUGGCGAAGGCGGAUUACUGGACGGUAACUGACGGUGAGGCGCGAAAGCGUGGGGAGCAAACAGG
rnacentral:rRNA from 1 species